ACUACGGGAUGCAGCAGUGAGGAAUAUUGGUCAAUGGCCGUAAGGCUGAACCAGCCAAGUAGCGUGAGGGAAGACUGCCCUAUGGGUUGUAAACCUCUUUUAUGCGGGGAUAAAGGUGUCCACGUGUGGCUGUUUGCAGGUACCGCAUGAAUAAGGACCGGCUAAUUCCGUGCCAGCAGCCGCGGUAAUACGGAAGGUCCGGGCGUUAUCCGGAUUUAUUGGGUUUAAAGGGAGCGUAGGCCGGUCUUUAAGCGUGCCGUGAAAUUUUGUGGCUCAACCAUGAGAGUGCGGCGCGAACUGGAGACCUUGAGUGCGCGGAAGGCAGGCGGAAUUCGUGGUGUAGCGGUGAAAUGCUUAGAUAUCACGAAGAACCCCGAUUGCGAAGGCAGCCUGCCGCAGCGUUACUGACGCUGAAGCUCGAAAGCGCGGGUAUCGAACAGGAUUAGAUACCCGAGUAGUC
rnacentral:rRNA from 1 species